UCGAGCGGAUGAAGGGANGCUUGCUCCUGGAUUCAGCGGCGGACGGGUGAGUAAUGCCUAGGAAUCUCCCUGGUAGUGGGGGAUAACGUCCGGAAACGGGCGCUAAUACCGCAUACGUCCUGAGGGAGAAAGUGGGGGAUCUUCGGACCUCACGCUAUCAGAUGAGCCUAGGUCGGAUUAGCUAGUUGGUGGGGUAAAGGCCUACCAAGGCGACGAUCCGUAACUGGUCUGAGAGGAUGAUCAGUCACACUGGAACUGAGACACGGUCCAGACUCCUACGGGAGGCAGCAGUGGGGAAUAUUGGACAAUGGGCGAAAGCCUGAUCCAGCCAUGCCGCGUGUGUGAAGAAGGUCUUCGGAUUGUAAAGCACUUUAAGUUGGGAGGAAGGGCAGUAAGUUAAUACCUUGCUGUUUUGACGUUACCAACAGAAUAAGCACCGGCUAACUUCGUGCCAGCAGCCGCGGUAAUAC
rnacentral:rRNA from 1 species